AAAUAAUUCAAUCAUAAUAAAUAAAUUAAUCGAAUAAAUUAAUCAAAUAAAUUCUUCAAAUAUAUCCUGCGCUCUAAAUUGCUAAAUCCCUAAAUCUGUUAGCUGUGUGGGACUUUCAAUCGACGUUCGGCGUGGAAUCAUCGAUGAUCUAGUAGCUGUGUGUUCUUCCAAGGAAUUUUUGUUGUUCAUUAUCACUUCAGCAAUUGUGGCUUGUGGGGAAGUGGGGAAAUCUACUUUCGAAAAACCUGCUGUUUCGCAUGAUGAGCAACUCAGAGGAACAAAAAUGGGGCAUCAGAUUAAGUUACUGGAGGAGAACAGUGAGUUGCAGAAACUCCAUAGGCAAUUGAUCAUUGGUGGUAUUCUAUCAGAGGCUGAAUUUUGGGCCGCUAUAAAACUGGUGGCUACUUUCCUUAGACUUAGUCGUUAUUUAUCUUGCCAAUGGAUUAUAGAAGCUGCUGGAGCAAACUGAAAACAAGAAGUCAAAACAGCGGGUCGCUUUAAAAAAAUGACAUGUGGAGUGUAAAACCAUUAUCCGAUGGUCAGGUGCCUAAAAUGAAGAAAAUGUUGAAGACAUUGACCUUACUUGAGAAGAUUUUUGGGCUGUGGAUAAAUGCUCUAAUAUCAAUAGUUUUGUGUUGAAUUUUUUGAAACUUAAAAUGACUCAAACUAGCUAGUAUGUAAAAACUUAACUAAUCAUUUGGACUUGAUUACAUUUUACUUUUGGGUUUAAAUUAUUAGCUUGUUGCAUAUUUUGAAUUAUAAGAUUAUUAAAGAAUGAUUUUGUUUUGUGACGUGUAUAUAUUGUGUUAUAAUUUAUUUUGUAUGUAAAUAAAAAUUUACUUUAAUACAACUAUUUAUA